rnacentral:rRNA from 1 species
UACGGAGGGUGCGAGCGUUGUCCGGAAUCACUGGGCGUAAAGGGCGCGUAGGCGGCCGAGCAAGGUCGCGGUGAAAGCCCGGGGCUCAACCCCGGGUCGGCCGUGGCAACUCCUCGGCUUGAGCACUGUAGGGGCGGGUGGAAUUCCGGGUGUAGCGGUGGAAUGCGUAGAGAUCCGGAAGAACACCGGUGGCGAAGGCGGCCCGCUGGGCAGGAAGAGAGGGUAACCUCUCGGCUGACGCUGAGGCGCGACAGCGUGGGGAGCAAACAGG